rnacentral:tRNA from 1 species
GGAUUGUGGCUCAGUGGUAGAGUGCUCGACUAGCAGGUGUGAGGUGCUGGGUUCGGUCCUCAUCACCA